rnacentral:lncRNA from 1 species
UCUCAUAGUAAAGUUUGUAUGUCCCGUGGAGGUAAGUCUUGUGCUGAUCCACAUUAUUUUUUUGAUUUUAUCUUUUGUGCUUCUUUCUUUUUUCUUUCUUUUGUGGUAUCGACAUCAUCAUCGAUGUUGAGAUCUUGGGUGGGGAUCCGUAUACUGCACUCAUGAGGGAUCUUUCCAACAUCUAGCCCAAGCGAUCAAGGCAAUUAACCCAAUUGGCCUAAAUCUAAUAUCUCUCUUCUCCCCAAGUUAGUUGAACCAUUCCAAAUAGAUUAGGCUCCUGUUCGGACUCAAAUUAAUUUGCUCUCUUUUCUCUCUCUCUUUUACAUUCUCUUUUAUGAUUAAGGGCUAACGAUGUUAAUUACUUUGAAUAGAUCCUUCAACUCUAGAGGAGUGUCAGGAUUAAAGAUCAAGCAAUGUAUGUAAGGAUGUGAAUAAUUUUAUUUGAUGGAUUCUUUUUUGGAUCUGGUCGAUCUAGAUUGUAAGUUACCUCUAUCUCUAAUGUGUUUUAUCAUGCAUAAGAUUUGAUUUCUAUAUUUAUCUAUUGCUAUGGUAUUCUAUUUAAGUUAAGUAUCUUAUAUGCUUUACAUGAAAAUGAUUCAUGAAAUGUUCGAUCGAAUAUAUACAUAUUUUAGUGAAAAAAGAAUUAUAUUUAUUUGCAUCAAAAUGUAUUGUGUUGAUUCUACUACUCUUUAAUCCGACUAUGACCAUAUGAAUUCAGGAUCUAGUUUCCUUUCGGACCUCUAGUGGAUGAUCACUGGCAUACAUCGAUGAACGGUGUAUUGUAGUUAGGUACUAGUUUUUUUUUUGAGCCUAGCCAAGUGAGACUGAUCGUUAGCUUGUGAUGGAGAAGCAUAUUUUUCCAUAUGAUAUUAGAGCUAGUUUUUCUUUUGGGACUCUAAUGGAGCGAUCACUGGUGUAUGACCGAUG